rnacentral:rRNA from 1 species
UACGUAGGGCGCAAGCGUUAUCCGGAAUUAUUGGGCGUAAAGAGCUCGUAGGUGGUUUGUUACGUCCGCUGUGAAAACCUAGGGCUUAACCCUGGGCUUGCAGUGGAUACGGGCAGACUAGAGGUAGGUAGGGGAGAAUGGAAUUCCUGGUGUAGCGGUGAAAUGCGCAGAUAUCAGGAGGAACACCGGUGGCGAAGGCGGUUCUCUGGGCCUUACCUGACACUGAGGAGCGAAAGCGUGGGGAGCGAACAGG